rnacentral:lncRNA from 1 species
CUCUCAGGCCCCCAAGGGUAGAGAUGUUAAAGGGACAGCUGUGCUGGCUCCCAUCUCUGACUCCAUCCUAAGGUAGGGACAGGACUCGAUGCCUGCUAUAGACUGGCUGGCAUCAUGCAGCCAAGCUAACCUGGCCUCUGAGUGACAGACUCCGGUUUUAGGCCCAGUCUGUGCCCAUAUGCCCUGCUCUGUUGACUGAAACCUCUCUGGGCAUCAGGAGAGCCACUGGGUAGUUUGAGGACUUGAAUGGCGUACUUUAAUGCAUAUGCAAAGGCAAUGGGCACAAACUGGGACUGCCUGAGGCAGGCAGGGCAAAUGGUGACUCCUGAGUUUAUGGGUGCCCCCACCAUUACAUGGGUACCUCCACUUUGCCUGGGGACUCUUCGUUUAUUUGGAAGUUGGGCACAUCAUCCCCAGUUCCCUGGAGUCCUAUGUAGUCAGCAUCUGGUACAAAGCUGUUAUAGCCUAGGCUGCACUACAGAGCACACAGGACUCCCAUGCAUGAAGGCUGUGUCAGAACUCCCUGUGGCUUCUGACACUGUGACCAGCACUUGGUAACCAUGUAUUCUUUGUAGUGCUACCCAGUCAGCCUCUCCCAGGCUGCACUGUCUGGUGUGGUGGCCCCUGGGCAGUUACAUAGAGCUGUGAACUGUGAACAUAAAGCAUACCAGAUAGGAAUACAGCUGGCAUCAAUCAGAUCCACAUCCCUGAGAGGACUGCAUCAACUCUUUUGGAAACUGUCUUCCCACCUUGAUGCCCUGCGCUGUGCAGCUUCUGAAAAUGGUGUGUCCUUAUGGCAACCUCUGUAUUUCUGUGUAAGAGAGGGUUUGGAUUUGGUUAUUUCAGUGCUGGGUGGCCCUUUCUCUGUCACACUCCCCAAAAAGUGAACCAAACCACACUCCAAGUUUAGCAAAAUGUGG